CAAGUAAUGAAGUAAAAAAUACGCUUAGUUUCGGCCUAAGAAUAAGAGAUUAUUUCUCCUUGCUUGG
rnacentral:tRNA from 1 species